rnacentral:rRNA from 1 species
UACGGAGGAUCCGAGCGUUAUCCGGAUUUAUUGGGUUUAAAGGGUGCGCAGGCGGGAUGUUAAGUCGGCGGUGAAAUUUUGCAGCUCAACUGUAAAAGUGCCUUCGAAACUGGUUUCCUUGAGUGUAGAUGAAGUAGGCGGAAUUUGUGGUGUAGCGGUGAAAUGCAUAGAUAUCACGAGGAACUCCGAUUGCGCAGGCAGCUUACUAAACUACUACUGACGCUCAGGCACGAAGGCGUGGGGAUCAAACAGGAUUAGAUAUCCGU